UAAGCGGAGGAAAAGAAACUAACAAGGAUUCCCCUAGUAACGGCGAGUGAAGCGGGAAGAGCUCAAAUUUGAAAGCUGGCGUCUUCGGCGUCCGCGUUGUAAUCUCGAGAAGUGUUUUCCGUGCUGGACCAUGUACAAGUUCCUUGGAAUAGGACGUCAUAGAGGGUGAAAAUCCCGUACUUGAUGUGGCCGCCCAGUGCUUUGUGAUACACUUUCCAUGAGUCGAGUUGUUUGGGAAUGCAGCUCAAAAUGGGUGGUAAAUUCCAUCUAAAGCUAAAUAUUGGGGAGAGACCGAUAGCGAACAAGUACCGUGAGGGAAAGAUGAAAAGCACUUUGGAAAGAGAGUUAAAUAGUACGUGAAAUUGUCGAAAGGGAAGCGCUUAAAGUUAGACAUGCUAGUCGGGAUUCAGCCUUGCUUUUGCUUGGUGCAUUUUCCGGUUGGCAGGCCAGCAUCAGUUUUGCCUGUCGGAUAAGGGUGGGAGGAAUGUGGCCCCUCGGGGUGUUAUAGCCUCUCACUGGAUACGGCGGGCGGGACUGAGGAACGCAGUGCGCCUUUAUGGCGGGCCUUCGGGCACCUUCGCACUUAGGAUGCUGGCGUAAUGGCUUUAAGCGACCCGUCUUGAACACG
rnacentral:rRNA from 1 species